CAAUUAAAGUAAAUACAAUUUAUUUUUGAUUUACAGAUUUCACAGGGAAAGGUGCUUCAAAAAUUAAGUGUGUAACAGUGAAGUAACUGAUAAAAGUGGCAGACUGAACCCCUGGGAGAGCCACAGUGUGAAGAUAAACUCGGGCAGCAGAAAAACCACUGGCUGCAAAGACUGAUAAUGACACAGACAUGGCAAGAACAGCAGCAGGGCAUGUGCGUAUGGCAGCAAAGAUAUAAACUAGAUGACUCCGGGGCCAUGAAAAGAAGCUUUACUCCUAAAAAGGGACUUCUGGAACAGAUGCAAAAGCAGAUCGAUGAGAUUACAUCUCAAGUGAGAGAAGAGAAAAGUCCUCCUUUCCUUUGGAAUAGGGACUCAGAAUAGAACCUCCAUGUUCCAUAUCACCAUGCAGACUGUCACCAUAUGGACAGCAGUGCAAGGACACCGAAGAAGUGAUUUAUAACUGCAGUGUGUAAGUCUCUG
rnacentral:lncRNA from 1 species